CCUCUGAAACUGCCAGCCAUGAACUGUGUUUUCUGUUGAUCUUUUCCCUCUGAAUAUUGACAACAUUAUAAUGAGGAUUCAGCAAAGGGUUCAGUGUGGCUACAUUUAUGUUGAGGUCUUUGAUCCAUUUGGACUUAAGUUUUAUAGCCACUUUGGAAAUCAGUAUGCUUACUCCUCAGGAAAAUUGGAAUCAGUCUACCACAAGAUCCAGCAAUUCUACUCUUAGGCAUAUAUACCCAAAAGAAGCACAUUCAUACAACAAGGACAUCUGUUCAAGAAUGUUCAUAGCGACACUAAUUUGUAAUAGCCAGAACCUGGAAGCAACCUAGAUGCCCCUCAACUGAAGAAUGAAUAGAAAAAAUGUGGUACAUUUACACAAUGUAGUACUACUCAGUGGGAAAAAAAACAAUGGAAUCUUGAAAUUUGCAGGAAAAUGGAUGGAACUAGAAGAAACCAUUCUGAGCAAGUGGUUGGAAGUAGAAGCAGACACCCACAGCUAAACACUGAACUGAACUGGAGUCCAGUUGCAGAGAAAGAAGAGUGAUGAUCAAAGGGUCCAGACAAGGCUGGUGAAACCUACAGAAACAGCUGACCUGAACAAGGGGCAGCGCUUGGUUCCCAGACUGAUAGCUGGGAUACCAGCAUGGGACUGAUCCAGAACCCAGGAUUGUGGGUUUCAGUGAGGAGACAUCGUAAAUCUAUGGGACCUUCUGUAGUAGUUCAGUACUUAUCUCUAGCAUAGGUGUGGACUUUGGGAGCCCAUUACUCAUAUAGGGAUACUCCCUGAGCCAAGCCACAUGGGGGGUGGGCCUAAGCCCUCUACCAAAUAAUAUGAUAGACUCUUAUGAACCCUUAUGGAAGGUCUCACCCUUCCUGGGGAGCAGAAAGGAU
rnacentral:lncRNA from 1 species